rnacentral:rRNA from 1 species
AGCAGCCGCGGUAAUUCCAGCUCCAAUAGCGUAUAUUAAAGUUGUUGCAGUUAAAAGCUCGUAGUUGAAUUUCGGGAUCAAGGAAUCGGUCAUGCCUCGGUAUGUACUGGUUUUAUUGGUUCUCACCUUCUAAAGAACCAUGAUGUCAUUCAUUUGAUGUUAUGGGGAAUUAGGACUGUUACCUUGAAAAAAAUUAGAGUGUUUAAAGCAGGCUUACGCUUGAAUACAUUAGCAUGGAAUAAUGAAAUAGGACAUCAGAUUCUAUUUUGUUGGUUUCUAGGAUCGAUGUAAUGAUUAAUAGGGAUAGUUGGGGGCAUUAGUAUUCAAUUGUCAGAGGUGAAAUUCUUGGAUUUAUUGAAGACUAACUACUGCGAAAGCAUUUGCCAAGGAUGUUUUCGUUAAUCAAGAACGAAAGUUAGGGGAUCGAAGACGAUCAGAUACCGUCGUAGUCUUAACCAUAAACUAUGCCGACUAGGGAUCGGAUGAUGUUUAUUUUUUUAGUGACUCAUUCGGCACCUUA